UAAAUGAUGAUCAAAAUAUAUUUGCUAUUCUUAGUUAUUUAUCAAUCAUGCUGAAUGGAAAUUUCUGAUU
rnacentral:snoRNA from 16 species